rnacentral:rRNA from 1 species
GAUGAACGCUGGCGGCGUGCCUAAUACAUGCAAGUCGAGCGAACGGACGAGAAGCUUGCUUUUCUGAUGUUAGCGGCGGACGGGUGAGUAACACGUGGAUAACCUACCUAUAAGACUGGGAUAACUUCGGGAAACCGGAGCUAAUACCGGAUAAUAUUUUGAACCGCAUGGUUCAAAAGUGAAAGACGGUUUUGCUGUCACUUAUAGAUGGAUCCGCGCUGCAUUAGCUAGUUGGUAAGGUAACGGCUUACCAAGGCAACGAUGCAUAGCCGACCUGAGAGGGGGAUCAGCCACAAUGGAACUUAGACACGGGGCAGACUCCUACGGGAGGCAGCAGGAGGGAAUCUUCCGCAAGGGGCGAAAGCCUGACGGAGCAAUGCCGCGUGAAUGAUGAAGGUCUUCGGAUCGGAAAACUCUGGUAUUAUGAAAGAACAAAUGUGUAAGUAACUAUGCACGUCGGGACGGUACCUAAGCAGAAGGCCACGGCUAACUACGUG